UGCUAUCACUUGUAAUCAUCUGUGCAGUAUCUCAAAGACUGAUAGUGAGCAAACCUCUAGGUUAAUGCUGAAGAUUUACAAGCUCCUGGACAUUUUGACAGAGCUGAAAGCAUACUUGGACUGGGUAUAAGAAGAAGAGUCCCCAGCGAGAGAUUCUUAUGGAAAACGAAAGAGUGAUUCGGCUCAAGAAGAGUUAGAGCGGAAGAUAGCUCAAAUGACUAAUUGGAUUGCAAGUAUCAAAAGGGUUAUUAUCAGUCAGAAUGAGGACAUCGAAAUUGUGAAUAAAUUGUCAACAGCCACAAUGAUUGAUCCUAGAAUCACUGUUGCAUGGUGCAGGAGGCAUGGAGUUCCCAUUGACAGUGUGAGUCACACCUUCAUUGUCUUCUUAAAGCCAAUAGUAUUACCAAUAGAUAUAUAUAUGCUUCAAUUGUUCGAAUGAAACAUGUGGUCUAUACAAAAAUUAUUGAUGGUGAUUGUUAUAAGACUUAGCAAUCUUCUGAAUGAGCUGGUGCUAGCUAGUUAACGUACUUGA